ACCCUAAUUUUCUUCCUUCUUUCUCCUUUCUUCUUUUCUCUUUUCUCCCUUUUUCCUUCUUCCCCCUCUUUUUUCUCCCCCCCCCCUCUUAAAUGGCCUUAUGGCCGCCAGCUUCUUGUUGAGCUGCCGACUGCAAGGCCAGCUAAAUGUUUCAGCUUCAGUCAAUCACGUCCGCAGAUUCUAAAACAUUUGGAGCCAAUCACGUUCGCACAGUCUAAAACAUCUGCCCAAUCACGGCAGAAAUCCUGGAGAGCGACGUCAGGCACACGGCAGAAAUUCUGGAGGGCGACGUUACAUUGCUUACGCUAGACCUGAGGGGGCGGGUAAUUCAAAGAGUGAAGCUAGCCGGAUGCUUAAGGAAUCAACCGAGGCAGAUUAUCGACAUGGUGUCAAACCCCCGUAUCGGGGUGGAGUCGUUGCUGGUGACGGUCAUCAGAAAAGCACCAGCCCAGCAGAAGGCAGGGAGAGCCAGAGUCUGGCUGGGGAAGUGCUUCAGACUCUAGACAGAGAAGGCCUACAAGACAUAAAUGCAGUUGGAAAUUCCUCGUGGGGGAGAGCUGCGCGUCAUCGGAGUGCUACUUGGGAGCGUUCCUGGUGGAUGGACCAGCGCAGAACCGUCUCCACGCUUGAAAGUGACAAAGCGGGUCCCUGCCACACUGGCCGGUAGCGACUUGCUGUCUGGAUUGUAUACUGGAUUGGGAUGACUCCUCUUUGGUGUGGGUUGAUCUAUUGCAGUGUUUUUUUUUCUGUGGAUUCUAUAUGUGGGGCGUGGUUUAAGUAUUGCAAACUGAUAAUACCUUUUGGGGGGAAGGCAUGUAUCUUGCUUUUGUGUGGACAUUGUGUGGGGGUUUUCAUGUUAGACAUGGUUGGCCAUUAGUUGGCUUUAUGCCUAUCGCCUAGUGGGGUUCUAUGUACAGUGAAUCUGUGCCUACAGUCCUGUAUCCAGUCUGCUUGUGGCAAAUAAACAUUUGUAUAACCAUUUCUGAUUCUGAGUG
ensembl:lncRNA